rnacentral:snRNA from 1 species
GUGCUUGCUUUGGUAGCACAUGUACUAAGAAGAUCAGCAUGACCCUUGAGCAAGGAUAACAUGCAAAACUGUGAAGCAUUCUGUAGGGUU